GAAGGCGGCCUUAGCGCGGUGGUCCCACCUGACCCCAUGCCGAACUCAGAAGUGAAACGCCGUAGCGCCGAUGGUAGUGUGGGGUCUCCCCAUGCGAGAGUAGGGAACUGCCAGGC
rnacentral:rRNA from 1 species